AGAGUUUGAUCCUGGCUCAGGAUGAACGCUGGCGGCGUGCCUAAUACAUGCAAGUCGAACGGGAAGCGUUGAUUCGUCGAAGUGGAGAGUGGCGCACGGGUGAGUAACACAUGGCUGACCUGCCCUUCAGAGGAGGACAACCAGUGGAAACGCUGGCUAAUACUCCAUACGCUCGUGGGACUUAGAACCCCGUGAGGAAAAGCUCCGGCGCUGAAGGAGGGGGCUGUGGCCCAUCAGCUAGUUGGUAGGGUAAAGGCCUACCAAGGCGAGGACGGGUAGGGGACCUGAGAGGGUGACCCCCCACACGGGUACUGAGACACGGACCCGACUCCUACGGGAGGCAGCAGUAAGGGAUAUUGCGCAAUGGACGAAAGUCUGACGCAGCAACGCCGCGUGCGGGAUGACGGCCUUCGGGUUGUAAACCGCUUUUCUGUGUGAAGAGGAAGGACGGUAGCACAGGAAUAAGUCUCGGCUAACUACGUGCCAGCAGCCGCGGUAAAACGUAGGAGGCGAGCGUUAUCCGGAUUUACUGGGUGUAAAGCGCGUGCAGGCGGCUUCGUAAGUUGUGCGUGAAAGCGCUCUGGCUCAACCGGGCGAGGACGUGCAAAACUGCGGAGCUAGAGAUAGGUAGAGGUAUGUGGAAUUCCGGGUGUAGUGGUGAAAUGCGUAGAGAUCCGGAGGAACACCAGUGGCGAAGGCGACAUACUGGACCUUAUCUGACGCUAAGACGCGAAAGCAUGGGUAGCGAACGGGAUUAGAAACCCCGGCAGUCCAUGCCGUAAACGAUGUGUACUAAGUGUUGGGGCCUAGAAACCCCAGUGCUGAAGCUAACAUGAUAAGUACACCACCUGGGGAGUACGGUCGCAAGAUUAAAACUUAAAGGAAUUGAUGG
rnacentral:rRNA from 1 species